rnacentral:rRNA from 1 species
UACGGGGGGAGCAAGCGUUGUUCGGAUUUACUGGGCGUAAAGGGCGCGUAGGCGGCGCAACAAGUCACUUGUGAAAUCUCCGGGCUUAACCCGGAGCGGCCAAGUGAUACUGUCGUGCUAGAGUGCGGAAGGGGCUACUGGAAUUCUCGGUGUAGCGGUGAAAUGCGUAGAUAUCUGGAGGAACACCGGUGGCGAAGGCGGCGGGCUGGACUGCAACUGACACUGAUAAACGAAAGCCAGGGGAGCAAACGGG